rnacentral:rRNA from 1 species
CUGGCUCAGAAUGAACGCUGGCGGCGUGCUUAACACAUGCAAGUCGAACGAGAAAGUUCCCUUCGGGGGAUAAGUAAAGUGGCGCACGGGUGAGUAACGCGUGGAUAAUCUGCCCUUGAAUUCGGAAUAACAUCGCGAAAGCGGUGCUAAUACCGGAUGAUGUUGUAUUUUCUGCGGGGAAUGCAACCAAAGAAU